rnacentral:rRNA from 1 species
UACGUAGGGUGCAAGCGUUAAUCGGAAUUACUGGGCGUAAAGCGUGCGCAGGCGGUUUUGUAAGACUGUCGUGAAAUCCCCGGGCUUAACCUGGGAAUGGCGAUGGUGACUGCAAGGCUAGAGUUUGGCAGAGGGGGGUAGAAUUCCACGUGUAGCAGUGAAAUGCGUAGAGAUGUGGAGGAACACCGAUGGCGAAGGCAGCCCCCUGGGCCUGCACUGACGCUCAUGCACGAAAGCGUGGGGAGCAAACAGG